AUUCACUUGACAUAACCAUCCAGAAAAAUUUUACCCGCAAAAAGGCGAAUGAUUACAGAAUUCUCAAAUUCUGCCUUUUGAGAAUAGUUUGGUGUGAAAAUAUAAAUCAAUGGCUGGUGAUUGAAUGGUUAAAUGGCUGAUAAGUAAAUAUUAUUUAGAGUACAGUGGAUUGUUAUUAAAAAGUUAAAAAUGCAUAUUUUAUGCUCAAUCUGUAGUGACCUGUUGAACCAAGCAGAGAAUAUAUAUGUCACAAAAUGUGGACAUAUGUUCCAUUAUCAAUGCUUAUCACAGUGGAUAGAGAGGUCACGGACCUGUCCACAAUGCCGCAACAAAGUGACGGAGCGCUGCAUGUACCGCCUGUUCCCCAACGUGUCCAACGAGGCGGGCGGCGAGGACGUGGCCACGCUGCAGAGCCGGCUCGACGACGUGCUGCUCAAGCUGCGCCAGCACCGCGCCAGCUGCAAGGAGCACGAGGACAAGGCCGCGGAGACCGAGGCGCAGCUCAACAAGAAUGUGGCUAUAGUUAAAUCAUUGGAAAAGCAAUUAGCACAACGAGAAACUGCCUUCUCUGCAUUGAAAGAACAGCUGGAGUACUUGAAGAUACAGAACUCGGAGACGCAGAAACUGAAGGAGGAGAAUGAGAAUUUAAAGAAGAACAUGCAAACACUAAACGGAAAUCAGGAGAAUGCAGCAGAAAAGCGAAACCACCUAGGGCCAUCUUCGGGAGAGCCUAGCAAGAAACGGGCCCGGCUUAACAAUGGCUCACCAAACCAGCCCCAUCUAAGCGUAGCCGUGACUACAACACCCAGACUAGACUUUACACAGAGCGAGGCUAACGCGGUCCAAGCUCAAAUACAGAUGGCGAUUUUUGAAGCUUGUAAUGUAGUACAAGGCAUCCCCUACGCACCGGCCUUCAAAGGCAAAGCCUUCCUCAGCGAAGGUGUUCUUAAAAUGUGGUGCCAAGACGACGAGGCACUUCUCUGGCUGAAAAAAUGCAUUUCCACACUAGUGUCACCAAAACCAGGAACAAGUCUCUCUGUUAUACCACAAACUGAUAUACCGAUCAAGGUGAGAUCUGGUCUCUAUGUGCCAGACUUUAACCGCGACAUGAGGCAACUGCACCAAGUUUUGAAGAUGCAAAAUCCCUGGUACAAAAUAAUGGCGUGGACCCUGUACAGCUGCCAGAAGACUGUGGGCCAUCCGCCAGGAGUAUUUCUAAUCCUGGGCAUACCGAAGGAAGAGGUGCCAAAUUUAUUAGCUCGCGGCCGCAGGGUGGCAUACUCCACUGGAUCGAUAUAUAUACGCUUCUUCACGGACGACGGGAUGGGCGAACAACCACCUGGAUUUGAGGCAGCUGAAGUAGAUCAGGACAACCAAACCUCGACACCAGACAUUGCCGAUAACACAACUGAUCACAGCGAAGCAGCCACUGCCUCCGACGGCCGACCAGCGUCGGGGGUGGUCCAGAAAUAAGUCAUCUUCAACUCAACCUCCAGCUUAAACAUCUCGCGCCAAAUCAUUAGCUGGAGGUUGACCUUGACACCGUCCCUGUACUCUGAAAGUGCAAGGAUAUCUAGAAGCAGUAAUACCAAACUCUACAAACCAAGGCAAGGUCGUACCACUGUUUCUUACACCAAUGUAAUCCAUGCAGGGCUAAGUCCCAAAGUAAUUACUAACACAGCUCAUAUUGAGGACUAUGACCACAGGCAGAGGAUCAUACCUUACAGG
rnacentral:misc_RNA from 1 species